rnacentral:rRNA from 1 species
ACGGCCGCGGUAUCCUACCCGUGCAAAGGUAGCGUAAUCAUUUGUCUACUAAUUAUAGACCUGUAUGAAAGGCAAAAUGAGGGUUUAACUGUCUCUUAUAAUAAAUCUAUUAAACUGAUCUUUUAGUAAAAAAGCUAAAAUACUCCUAUAAGACCAGAAGACCCUGUGAAGCUUUAACUAAACCAUUAAACCAAAUAAUGUCUACUUUCGGUUGGGGCAACCUUGGAAACAAAAAUAACUUCCAAACAAAAUAUAACCUACCAUUAAGGCCCACAAGCCAAUUAACGACCCAGUAAUACUGAUAAUUGAAAAAAGUUACUCCAGGGAUAACAGCGCUAUCUUCUUCAAGAGCCCAUAUCAAAAAGAAGGUUUACGACCUCGAUGUUGGAUCAGGACAUCCUA